AUUGAAAGCUGGCGGCAGGCCUAACACAUGCAAGUCGAGCGGAUGAAGGGAGCUUGCUCCUGGAUUCAGCGGCGGACGGGUGAGUAAUGCCUAGGAAUCUGCCUGGUAGUGGGGGAUAACGUCCGGAAACGGGCGCUAAUACCGCAUACGUCCUGAGGGAGAAAGUGGGGGAUCUUCGGACCUCACGCUAUCAGAUGAGCCUAGGUCGGAUUAGCUAGUUGGUGGGGUAAAGGCCUACCAAGGCGACGAUCCGUAACUGGUCUGAGAGGAUGAUCAGUCACACUGGAACUGAGACACGGUCCAGACUCCUACGGGAGGCAGCAGUGGGGAAUAUUGGACAAUGGGCGAAAGCCUGAUCCAGCCAUGCCGCGUGUGUGAAGAAGGUCUUCGGAUUGUAAAGCACUUUAAGUUGGGAGGAAGGGCAGUAAGUUAAUACCUUGCUGUUUUGACGUUACCAACAGAAUAAGCACCGGCUAACUUCGUG
rnacentral:rRNA from 1 species